rnacentral:rRNA from 1 species
AACGAACGCUAGCGGCAGGCCUAACACAUGCAAGUCGAGGGGUAGAACACUUCGGUGUUUGAGACCGGCGCACGGGUGCGUAACGCGUAUGCAAUCUACCUUGUACAGGGGAAUAGCCCAGAGAAAUUUGGAUUAAUGCCCCAUAGUAUAUAACCUUCGCAUGUUGGUUAUAUUAAAGUUCCAACGGUACAAGAUGAGCAUGCGUCCCAUUAGUUAGUUGGUAAGGUAACGACUUACCAAGACGAUGAUGGGUAGGGGUCCUGAGAGGGAGUACCCCCACACGGGUACUGAGACACGGACCAGACUCCUACGGGAGGCAGCAGUGAGGAAUAUUGGUCAAUGGGCGCAAGCCUGAACCAGCCAUGCCGCGUGCAGGAAGACGGUCCUAUGGAUUGUAAACUGCUUUUAUACAGGAAGAAACCCUCCCACGUGUGGGGGAUUGACGGUACUGUAGGAAUAAGGAUCGGCUAACUCCGUGCCAGCCGCCGCUGUAAGAC